rnacentral:rRNA from 1 species
GACAGAGGGUGCAAACGUUGUUCGGAAUUACUGGGCGUAAAGCGCGUGUAGGCUGCUUCGCAAGUCGGGUGUGAAAGCCCUGGGCUCAACCUAGGAAGUGCACUCGAAACUGCGAAGCUGGAGUCCUGGAGAGGAAGGCGGAAUUCUCGGUGUAGAGGUGAAAUUCGUAGAUAUCGAGAGGAACACCGGUGGCGAAGGCGGCCUUCUGGACAGUGACUGACGCUGAGACGCGAAAGCGUGGGGAGCAAACGGG